CGCGGGUGCACCGCCGACCGACCUUGAUC
rnacentral:snRNA from 1 species